rnacentral:tRNA from 1 species
AAAAAUCUUGAAUUUAUUUAUCUUAAAAUAUUUAUUUUAGAUUUAAUUAUUUUUUAAUUUGUAUUUUUUAUUUAUUUUUUUAAUAUAUAUAUUUGUUCAUUAAAUUAGUCUUUCAUUAAUAUCAAAUUAUUAUAAUUUUAAUUAAAUUCAUUUAUUCAUAAUGAAAAAAUUAGAUUAUUAAGUUUUUAUAAUAUUCGAAUAAUAAAAAUUAUUUUUUAAUUAAAGAUUUUUA